UACAGAGGUGGCAAGCGUUGUUCGGAAUUACUGGGCGUAAAGGGCGCGUAGGCGGCCUUCUAAGUCGGACGUGAAAUCCCCAGGCUUAACUUGGGAACUGCGUCUGAUACUGGGAGGCUUGAGUGCGGGAGAGGGAUGUGGAAUUCCAGGUGUAGCGGUGAAAUGCGUAGAUAUUGGGAAGAACACCUGAGGCGAAGGCGGGUUGCUGGGCUGACACUGACGCUGAGGCGCGAAAGCCAGGGGAGCAAACGGG
rnacentral:rRNA from 1 species